rnacentral:snRNA from 1 species
GACUCUGGUGGUGGCACUUCUGACUUUGUCAGUAACAGGGUUCAACUCCCUGCGGUGUC